GCGAGCUCAGGAGCUCCUGGACGGCCUUGGCUCCGGGUCCAUGGACUUUCCUGUCCCCAUUCUGCAUCCUGAGCCCAGGCCCACAAGUCAGCUGUGGCACCGCAGCAGCCCUGGGUUUGCGGAGGGCGGAGAGAUGGUUCUCUCACCACUCAGGGCUCAGGGCCAGGUCAGGAGAAGUCCAUCUUCGGUGCCGUGCCCUCCUCCAGCCCUUCCUCCUCUCCGUCUGCCUCCUCGCCUCCAAUCUCACGCUACUCGCCUGGAUCCUUGGAGGCAGAAAUCUGUGGAACAGGGAGCUUUAUUUUUCGGGUCUUUCUAUGAUGUGCAGAGCAAACUGCCAGGUGUUUUUUCUAUAACAACCUGCGAGGUUUCCAGAAAGCCCGAGUCUUACUGGAAACCCCAAGAAGAACAAUAGUCCCCUUGAUCCGCCUCCUGUGGGGAUCCUGGGAAUAUGCUCAGGUGGCGGCAGAGGGACACGGCAUUCCUGCUUCUGGCCCCCGUCUGAGGGCUGCCUGGCAUUCCUGGGUGAGUCACAGGGAGACAAGCCAGCAUCUUUUUUUCCCCAGACAAACGGAAAGCGUCCCCCAAGUCUAAAAAUCGAAGGUAAGAGGAAAUUAGCCCUGGAAAAAACACCCAAGUUAGUCACUUAGUGAAUUUCUCUGAGUUUUAAUAACCUCAGCAUCGUCACCCCUAAAAAGGCCCUUCCAACAGCGAAUUCCUUGGGGGUUGCAAAAGAGGUUGUGACAGAUGAGGUCCCUUCUCUGAGCUCCUCAAAGUCUCCUCCACUCCUCCCAGUCUGCCCCCCACCCCACCCCGGGGACAGAAUAAAGGGGCUCCUGCUGCUUCUCCGAGCAACCAGACGUGCAGACGCAUCUGAACCAGCCAGACUCAGGGGAAGGAAGGGGUCUGUGGUCUCACGAAGAGUCUUAAAGGAAUUCAAUCAGGAAGCCGUAUUUUCCACUCAAAACCACAGGGCGGCUCUGCAACGCCCGUGGGGUUGCCUCGGGUGCGAGAGGAGACUCGUUGGAUGGCAGGGCUGUGGCCCAGGCCCAGGGGACAACGUGUGACUGGGGCCGGUCCUGCGAGGGCCUGUCCUGUGGGCUAAGGUUUGAGUACAAAUAGCACAGGAAAGCUGUCCGUGGCAUUUGGGGUGCUCGGGAAAGCAGCUUUUGUGGGGUUUUUUGUUGGUUUUUUUCUUUUUCAGCUGCUUGGCCACACCCACAGCCUAUGUCACAUCCAAGUUGGAGCUGUGACCUGUGCUACAGCUGCCGGACUGGGAAUCGAACCAGCGCCUCCACAGAGACAAGCCAGAUCAUCAACCCACUGCAUCAUAGCAGGAGCUGGAAAGCGGCUUUUGUGACAAAAAACAAAACAAACAAACAAAAAAACUACCAUUGGCUUUUUAUUUUAAGUGAAUAUCAAAUUAAUUUUAUUUUCGAUUAUUAGAUUAGUAUUGGUUCGCAUAUUCAUUUAUUUAUUUAUUUCGACCGCACCCAUGGCUUGUAGAAUUUCCAGGGCCAGGGAUCAAACCUGAGCCACAGCAGGGACCACGCCAGGUCCUCAACCCUCUGUGCUACCAGGAAACUCCUCAGUACACAUUUGAAUAUCCAGUUUUCUUUAGAGUUUGAAGCUCCGUCUAUAAAUCAAAGCAUCUGAUUGGUAAAUUCAGGACAUUUUUGGUAUCACUUUCAGGGAGCUUAGUUCUAUGAACAUUUGAACAGCUCAGUUUGAACUAUUAACCUCUCUAAUGUAGUCAGUCUCAUUUACAGACCUCAUAAAUCUGAUUUCCUUAAACAUUUUAUGUUACUUUAUUUAUUUUUUUGCCAAGCUUGAGACCUGCAGAAGUUCUCUGGCCAGAGAUCAAACCUGAGCCCCAGCCGUGACAACGCCAGAUCCUUAAGCCACGGCGACACCAGGAAACUCUCUCUUAAACAUUUUAAACCACAUUUGUAAAUUUGUAAAUAAUCUUUGAAAUUUUCUUCAAAAAUCUCCAAGGAGCAAAAGCUCCCCAGGCAAAUAAACUUGUUGCAGUAAAUCGAACAAAGCAAGUUUGAAUGUGGUGAGUAUCAGGCGUUCUUGGCUGUCUCCGAAUCAUGUGCCGCUUGAGAAAAAUGCUCCUACACGUUCCACUUACAUCGCAGGUAUAAAAUCAACCUCCCACGACAUGCCUUAAACCCGAAUCACAAGGCUAAGCUGACAGUUAUGAUAAUGUGCCAAAGUCUCUUAAUAUUUCACUUUAAGU
rnacentral:lncRNA from 1 species